UGAGUCGGUCAAGGUGAUCGCGUCUGAUGAACCAAGGUGACUGGAUCACCCAGGCAUCAGCCGAGGAAAGUCUGGACUCCACAGAGCACGGUGGUUGUUAACGGCAACCCGGAGUGAUCCGCGGGAAAGUGCAACAGAAAGUAGACCGCCACCGGUUUUGGCCGGUGGUAAGGGUGAAAGGGUGCGGUAAGAGCGCACCGGCAGGCCAGGUGACUGGUCUGGCCAGGUAAACCCCACCGGGAGCAAGGCAUGAGGACGCACUCCAAUGGGUGUGUCUGUGCAGGCGUUUUAAAGGCUGCUCGCCGAGUCUGCAGGUAGCUGCUGGAGGCAGUCAGCAAUGGCUGUCCGAGAUGGAUGUUCACCGCCCGCGGGUAGGGUUUCGGCCCGGCCCGCGGGAACAGAAUCCGGCUUAUGCACCGGCUCAUUCG
rnacentral:RNase_P_RNA from 22 species